UCANCCAUAGUUCGCUUUGGAAACUGUCAAACUUGAGCGCAGAAGGGGAGAGUGGANUUCCAUGUGUAGCGGUGAAAUGCGUAGAUAUAUGGAGGNACACCGGUGGCGAAAGCGGCUCUCUGGUCUGUAACUGAUGCUGAGGCUCGAAAGCGUGGGGAGCGAACAGGAUUAGAUACCCUGGUAGUNCACGCCGUAAACGAUGAGUGCUAGGUGUNGGAUCCUUUCCGGGAUUCAGUGCCGCAGCUAACGCAUUAAGCACUCCGCCUGGGGAGUACGACCGCAAGGUUGAAACUCAAAGGAAUUGACGGGGGCCCGCACAAGCGGUGGAGCAUGUGGUUUAAUUCGAAGCAACGCGAAGAACCUUACCAGGUCUUGACAUCCCGAUGCUAUUUCUAGAGAUAGAAAGUUACUUCGGUACAUCGGUGACAGGUGGUGCAUGGUUGUCGUCAGCUCGUGUCGUGAGAUGUUGGGUUNNNNNNNNCNACGAGCGCAACCCCUAUUGUUAGUUGCCAUCAUUCAGUUGGGCACUCUAGCGAGACUGCCGGUAAUAAACCGGAGGAAGGUGGGGAUGACGUCAAAUCAUCAUGCCCCUUAUGACCUGGGCUACACACGUGCUACAAUGGUUGGUACAACGAGUUGCGAGUCGGUGACGGCAAGCUAAUCUCUUAAAGCCAAUCUCAGUUCGGAUUGUAGGCUGCAACUCGCCUACAUGAAGUCGGAAUCGCUAGUAAUCGCGGAUCAGCACGCCGCGGUGAAUACGUUCCCGGGCCU
rnacentral:rRNA from 1 species